rnacentral:tRNA from 1 species
UCCUUGAUAGCUCAGCUGGUUAGAGCGAGUGACUGUUAAUCACUAGGUCCCUGGUUCGAGUCCAGGUCAGGGAGCAA